UACGUAGGGUGCGAGCGUUGUCCGGAAUUAUUGGGCGUAAAGAGCUCGUAGGCGGUGUGUCGCGUCGGCCGUGAAAACCUGCAGCUUAACUGUGGGCUUGCGGUCGAUACGGGCAUGACUGGAGUUCGGCAGGGGAGACUGGAAUUCCUGGUGUAGCGGUGAAAUGCGCAGAUAUCAGGAGGAACACCGGUGGCGAAGGCGGGUCUCUGGGCCGGUACUGACGCUGAGACGCGAAAGCGUGGGGGAGCGAACAGG
rnacentral:rRNA from 1 species